ACUGGGCAUGGUGGUGCAUGCCUGUAUUCCAGCUACUUGGGAGGUUGAGGUGGGAGGAUUGCUUGAGCCCAGAAAGUCAAGGCUGCAGUGAGCCAUGUUCACACCACUGCACUCCAGCCUGGGUGACAAAGCGAGAUCCUAUCUUAA
ensembl:misc_RNA Metazoa_SRP Metazoan signal recognition particle RNA